rnacentral:lncRNA from 1 species
GCAUUUUCUCUGUGAUAUGUUCUUUCUUAGAAAAUUGUUAGGUAUCUUCUUCAAUGAGUGAGUGAGCACUUUCUCCCGCCAGGGAAAAGUAAUAAUAGUGUAUAUGUAAGUAUAAUGAAAGAUCUGAUUAAAGAUUUUUCUUAUGUUGUAAUAAGUUCAUGGAAUAAAAGUUUGUUUUAUAUACCUUGUCAAUCUUUUAUGCUGGUAAAAAUGAUGGUUGCGAUCAUCGGCAUAAAUGGAGGAGGAACGGAACAGUAGCCAAAACUGUAGGACAAAAAAGGCUAAAAGGGUUCUUCAUAGCCGGAAGGAGAAACACUGCGGUGUUGAUAUGACCAACGUAAAGGAAAGACGAAUGGUACAUGAAUAUACUGUAUAGUCUCAUGAAUUUAUUAGCAUAGGAAAAAUUAGUUUUCAUAUCUACCUUAUACAUUCAUACAUAUUGUAUUACGUAGUACCUAUAGGGAAUUUUAAAAUCAUGAAUAAUGUAUAAUUUUUAAUAUGAAGGUUGUACAACCAGUAUUAAAGGAAUAUCAAAAUUGGUUUUGGGAAACCAAAAAAAAAAUCAGGUUUUACAAUCAUAAUAUAAAAAGUUUAAAUAACUAUUUUAGUAGGCUAUAUAGAUUAAAAAAUUAUUUAACUAAUUCUGAAAUCAACAGGGUUAGAGUACUCAUAAAUGCCUCUCUAAAUUAAAAUCACAAUCUAAA